AGCAGUCGCCACGGUAAAACGUAGGUCCCGAGCGUUGUCCGGAUUUAUUGGGCGUAAAGCGAGCGCAGGCGGUUAGAUAAGUCUGAAGUUAAAGGCUGUGGCUUAACCAUAGUACGCUUUGGAAACUGUUUAACUUGAGUGCAAGAGGGGAGAGUGGAAUUCCAUGUGUAGCGGUGAAAUGCGUAGAUAUAUGGAGGAACACCGGUGGCGAAAGCGGCUCUCUGGCUUGUAACUGACGCUGAGGCUCGAAAGCGUGGGGAGCAAACAGGAUUAGAGACCCCCGUAGUCCCUGUCUCUUAUACC
rnacentral:rRNA from 1 species